UACGUAGGGACCAAGCGUUGUUCGGAUUUACUGGGCGUAAAGGGCGCGUAGGCGGCGCGGUAAGUCACUUGUGAAAUCUCUGAGCUUAACUCAGAACGGCCAAGUGAUACUGCAGUGCUAGAGUGUGGAAGGGGCAAUCGGAAUUCUUGGUGUAGCGGUGAAAUGCGUUGAUAUCCAUAGGAACUCCGGUGGCGAAAGCGGUGUGCUGGAUCCUUUCUGACGCUGAUGCGCGAAAGCCAGGGGAGCAAACGGG
rnacentral:rRNA from 1 species